UGGGAAUUUUAGUGCAGGGGUAAAACGAUAAUUUAAAAACUUUUUCAAAAUUAUGAUUUUUACAGUGAAAAAUAUUAAUUAAUCUAAUUAAUUAAUAUAUAUUUAUCCUACACAAAGAUCUAAAUAUGAUAAACAUAACAUGCUUUUAAAUUUGAAUUUCAAAACCUCUACAGCAAAUAUUUUACUAUAAUGUGUUCAGAACAC
rnacentral:lncRNA from 1 species